UACGGAGGGCGCGAGCGUUACCCGGAUUUACUGGGCGUAAAGGGCGUGUAGGCGGUUUGGGGCGUCCCAUGUGAAAGGCCACGGCUCAACCGUGGAGGAGCGUGGGAUACGCUCAAGCUAGAGGGUGGGAGAGGGUGGUGGAAUUCCCGGAGUAGCGGUGAAAUGCGCAGAUACUGGGAGGAACGCCGAUGGCGAAGGCAGCCACCUGGCCCAUUUCUGACGCUGAGGCGCGAAAGCGUGGGGAGCAAACCGGAUUAGAUACCCGGGUAGUCCACGCCCUAAACGAUGCGCGCUAGGUCUUUGGGGUUUACCUGAGGGCCGAAGCCAACGCGUUAAGCGCGCCGCCUGGGGAGUACGGCCGCAAGGCUGAAACUCAAAGGAAUUGACGGGGGCCCGCACAAGCGGUGGAGCAUGUGGUUCAAUUCGAAGCAACGCGAAGAACCUUACCAGGCCUUGACAUGCUAGGGGACCCGGGUGAAAGCCUGGGGUGCCUGCGAGGGAGCCCUAGCACAGGUGCUGCAUGGCCGUCGUCAGCUCGUGUCGUGAGAUGUUGGGUUAAGUCCCGCAACGAGCGCAACCCCUGCUCCUAGUUGCCAGCGGGUUAGGCCGGGCACUCUAGGGGGACUGCCUGCGAAAGCAGGAGGAAGGCGGGGACGACGUCUGGUCAUCAUGGCCCUUACGGCCUGGGCGACACACGUGCUACAAUGCCCACUACAGAGCGAGGCGAGCCAGCGAUGGUGAGCGAAUCGCGGAAAGGUGGGCGUAGUUCGGAUUGGGGUCUGCAACCCGACCCCAUUGAAGCCGGAAUUCGCUAGUAAUCGCGGAUCAGCCAUGCCGCGGUGAAUACGUUUCCCGGGCCC
rnacentral:rRNA from 1 species